GACCACCUGCGGCAAGCACUGAGUCAGCCAUGGAGCACAGGUGAAGGUGAUUCAGCUGUGUGACCAGAAGGGGUGGAGCCUGGCUGCACCUCUCCUAGACCCCAUUUAAGGGCUGACUGCCACUAGGAAGGAUCUCUUCUGGAGAUUCCUCCUCUGUGGAGUCUUUCCUGUGAACCUAGAUCUUCAGAUACAGGUGACAUGGCAGUCACAUGCCUGAUGCUCAGGAGGACGACUCCAGACCACUGCUUCUGGAGACUUCCACUGCCCCAGCUACAGGACGGAGUUUUCCUCCAGUCCUUCUGCAGUUGGCCAGGACUCUAUCACUGGUGCUGUCCCAGACUGAGUGUUUAUUAGUGCUGCUUAUGGGCAGACCUUUCUUCAUCUGGCUCUGAGGCAGAACUUUCCCUCAGGGUGACUUCCCAGCAGAGCCUGAAGCCAUUGGUCUCUGUGCCAUCACCUCUGUCCUGCUGGACGUAACCCAACUGGGAGCUGGACUGGGAGCUUUGUAUAGGCUGAAAAAUGGCCUUCUCUUCAUGGGAGCAUAUCAGCCAGAGGCGUGUCUUGAGCAGUGCUCCCUUGACUAACAACUGCAGCCAGAGCCUGGCAUGCUGCUGAGUACUUCUGGAUGGACACCCAAGUCUGAGGGCCUCUUGGAUGCAUGAACACUGGCAGUCUGACUGUUCCUGGCUGCAGCCUGCGUCCUGGCUUUCAGCUGCUGAUGUUAACUGUGUUGACUGCCUGAUCUCAGGUGGCCCUUUUAGUGACAACUGAUGAUACUUUUCAUGAUAUUAUCAGUAGAUGAUUUUCCUGCCUUGCUGCAUGCCUGGACAACUGUUGCCUUAGUCAUAUUCAUAUAUUCUAACUGUUAAUAUUACCUGUUUGCCUUUAUCUGUGGGGAGCUAUAUUUUGUUUCACUCCAGAGCUUUUAUGGCUGUAGCCUUGCGCUAUUAUCCUUUAUAUACGCCCAUAACAGCAUGAGGUUUAGGGAGCUUCCUUCCUUUCUUCCUUCCCUUUCUUGAGGUGAAAGAAGUGCUGGUGAUGGCUGGGCUGUGGCCAAGCCUUACAGCCUUCCUGCCUGAGGAGGGAGUUUACCCUUCUGUCCUCCACAUACUUUCUUCAAGAAAAGGACAAACACUGGAAAAUUAUUUCCCUCCAAGAUUUCCAAUGGGAUUUUAAUUACCUAAAGUAGGUUCUUAUUUCCAUGCAACCCAUCUCUUUACAUUUCUCUUAUACACAGAUACAUAAAUACACAUAUAAUAUAUAUAUAUAUGCAUAUAUACAUUUAGGUGUUUAAUUUUGAACAAGCUUUCACAACUGUCCAUAACCAAGGUUGUUUUUUGUUAGCUUCUUACUGCUGAAGCCAGGGCUACUAUGUGGCAAUAGAAGAAUGCUUUGCUUGUGGGGCUGAAUGACAGACUUGUAGCUUAUAGUAAAACUGCCUAUGGGUUUAUUACCUUGCUGUCAUGCAUUUCAAAAGCUACAGUAGAAUGGACCUGAAUAAUCCCUGAGCCACUACUUGCAUAUGUGAUGAUAAAUGUCAGAUCACUGUUGAGUUUGAGCAGCUGAGAAGAUAAGGGUAAGUAAAAGAUCUUGGGUAAAACAGCAUCAGCAAAAAAUCUGCCUGUGUGACACCACACUUUUUCAUAGCAUGAAAAGAUUGUCUAUGACAUCUGCAACCACUCCUAAGACAAGAGCUAACUUUUUUCUGCUCUUGUGUACCUAGGGUCAUAAAAUCAUCGAAUCGUAGAAUUGUUUGAGUUGGAAGAGGCCAUUUAAGGCCUCUGGCACAGAUUCCACCAAAUGUGUGGUGGAAGCCCCAUCCCUGGAAACAUUCAAGGUCUGGCUGGACAGGGCUCUGAGCAACCUGAUCCAGCUGUAGAUGUCCUUGUUCAUUGCAGGGGAGCUGGAACAGAUGUCUUUCAAAGGUCCCUUCCAACUGAAAAGAUUCCGUGAUUUUCUAUUUAUUUGUGGUGUUUGCAUGCUUAUCACACAAGCAUAAAUGCAUCAUCCUGGAUUCUUUAUCACACAGUUUUUCAGAGUGUCUCCAAAGAAUUGGUAGUCUUCAAUAUGCAAAGUAGUUCUCUAGUUUGAUGACUGUC